rnacentral:rRNA from 1 species
GGAACUUAACUGACGNUAAUGCGUGAAAGCGUGGGGAGCAAACAGGAUUAGAUACCCUGGUAGUNCACGCCCUAAACGAUGUAUACCGGUUGUUGCUGUGCUAGUCACGGCAGUAAUCCACCUAACGGAUUAAGUAUACCGCCUGGGGAGUACGGUCGCAAGAUUAAAACUCAAAGGAAUAGACGGGGACCCGCACAAGCGGUGGAGCAUGUGGUUUAGUUCGAAGAUACGCGAAGAACCUUACCCGGACUUGAUAUCUAACAAAUCAUCCAGAGAUGGAAGAGUGUCUGCUUGCAGAAAUGUUAAGACAGGUGCUGCACGGCUGUCGUCAGCUCGUGUCGUGAGAUGUUGGGUUAAGUCCCGCAACGAGCGCAACCCACGUCAUUAGUUGCUAACGGUUCGGCCGAGCACUCUAAUGAGACUGCCUUCGUAAGGAGGAGGAAGGUGUGGACGUCGUCAAGUCAUCAUGGCCCUUAUGUCCGGGGCGACACACGUGCUA